UACGGGGGGGGCAAGCGUUGUUCGGAAUUACUGGGCGUAAAGGGCUCGUAGGUGGCCAACUAAGUCAGCCGUGAAAUCCCUCGGCUUAACCGGGGAACUGCGUCUGAUACUGGAUGGCUUGAGUUCGGGAGAGGGAUGCGGAAUUCCAGGUGUAGCGGUGAAAUGCGUAGAUAUCUGGAGGAACACCGGUGGCGAAGGCGGCAUCCUGGACCGACACUGACGCUGAGGAGCGAAAGCCAGGGGAGCAAACGGG
rnacentral:rRNA from 1 species